UGGACGCUAGAGGAAAGGACUUUAAAGAAACAGCAACUAUGUUUCACUUCUAAGAAAGUGAUGAUAUCUUCAUAGAACAGGUUAAAAGCUAAUGUGCAC